CGCGCGGGCGACGACGAGGCCAGGCGCGAUGGACCCGGCCUUUCCCGGUGUCCAGGGUCAGGCCCAGCCGCCGCCACCCGAAGCGUGGCCGCUGGUUGGCUCCGAGGAGCUCUAUGACUGUCCGGAUUACUACUACCUGCGCGACUUCCCGGCCUGCGGGGCCGGACGCAGCAAGGGCCGGACGCGGCGCGAGCGGGAACUGCGCACGAACUGGCGGGCGCCCGGCGGCCACGAGCGCAGGAUCGCGCAGAAGCUCCUCAACGGCCAGCGCAAGUGUCGCCAGCGCCAGCUGCAGCCCCGGCCGCGCACCCGUCUCGCCUGAGCGCUGGUGCGUGCGGGCAGCCACGGGCCGGGGCCCAGGAGAACCGCGCGAGCGCCCUGGAUACCCAUACCCGAAGGACCUGAUAAAAGUAUUUUCUCUGACUCCAGCUGUAACUGUGGUCCUAAGGGGAACAGUCCAUGUUGCUCAACAGAACUUUUUUCGACAUCGCUUAAGUUCAGUAUCUUUUCCUUACUGAUUGUUAAUUAAGUAACAUCCAAGUGGGUAUGCCUGUUUAGGGUUUUUAAUUAAAAGAGCAGCAAGAA